UCUCUGAUAGCUCAACGGUAGAGCUCUCAAUGUACAGUAUGUCGAUGACAGUAUCUACACAGUCGAGAGAUGUUGGUUCGACUCCAACUCGGAGAA